AUCAAGUAUGUGGUGGUGGGAGAUGGAGCUGUAGGGAAAACUUACCAACUCAUCAGUGAUCAGCUAUACAACCUGGAGAAUAUAUCCCUAUUGUCUUUGACAAUCACUAUGCCAGUGUUAUGUUAAAUGGGAAACCGGUGAAUCUGGGUGUAUGAGAUACAAGUGGACAAGAAGAUUACACAGGUGGACAGAUUAUGACCCCCACCCCCGUUCCUAUCCACAAACAGAUGAAUUCUUAAUUUGCUUUUCCCUUGUGAGUCCUGCGUCAUUAGAAAAUGUCCAUGCCAAGUGGUGUCCUGAAGUGCAGCACCAUUGUCACAACACUCCCAUCAUCCUUGUGGGAACUAAACUUGAUCUUAGUGAGAGAAAUACAAGACUGAAACACUGAAGAAGAAGAAGCAGACUUCCAUCACCUAACGGCAGGGUUUAGGUACUGUAAAAUACCUGGAGUGUUCAACCAGGCCUCAAAAUAGUGUUUGACGAAGCUAUGCAAGCCGUUUUCUCCUGACCUC
rnacentral:lncRNA from 1 species